rnacentral:rRNA from 1 species
CCUACGGGUGGCAGCAGUGAGGAAUAUUGGUCAAUGGCCGGAAGGCUGAACCAGCCAAGUCGCGUGAGGGACGACUGCACUAUGGGUUGUAAACCUCUUUUAUAAGGGAAGAAUAAAUGCUACGUGUAGCAUGAUGACUGUACCUUAUGAAUAAGCAUCGGCUAACUCCGCGCCAGCAGCCGCGGUAAUACGGAGGAUGCGAGCGUUAUCCGGAUUUAUUGGGUUUAAAGGGUGCGUAGGCGGCUUUUUAAGUUAGCGGUUAAACGUCGGGGCUGAACCCUGGUGUGCCGUUGAAACUGUCGGGAGGGAGUUGGAGAGAAGUACGCGGAAUGAGCGGUGUAGCGGUGAAAUGCUUAGAUAUAGCGCAGAACUCCGAUAGCGAAGGCAGCGUACCGGCUCCACACUGACGCUGAGGCACGAAAGCGUGGGUAUCGAACAGGAUUAGAUACCCGUGUAGUC